GAUGAACGCUGACAGAAUGCUUAACACAUGCAAGUCGAUGGGGAAGUGGGGCUUGCACCAUGGUAACCAUGGCGGACGGGUGAGUAACGCGUAAGGAACUUGCCUGCGGGACUGGGAUAACAGCAGGAAACUGCUGAUAAUACCGGAUAAGGUCAUUAAGCUGCAUAGCUUAGUGAUGAAAGGAGACGCCUGCGGAGAGCCUUGCGUCCUAUUAGCUAGUUGGAGGGGUAACGGCCCACCAAGGCGAAGAUAGGUAGCCGGCCUGAGAGGGUGGACGGCCACAAGGGGACUGAGAUGCGGCGCUUACUCCUACGGGAGGCAGCAGUGGGGAAUAUUGGACAAUGGGGGCAACCCUGAUCCAGCAAUUCUGUGUGCACGAAGACGGUUUUCGGAUUGUAAAGUGCUUUCAGCAGGGAAGAAGGAAGUGACGGUACCUGCAGAAGAAGCGACGGCUAAAUACGUG
rnacentral:rRNA from 1 species